UACGGAGGGUGCAAACGUUGCUCGGAAUCAUUGGGCGUAAAGCGCACGUAGGCGGUUCGGUAAGUCGGGUGUGAAAGCCCUCGGCUCAACUGAGGAAGUGCAUUCGAAACUACCGGACUUGAGUAUGGAAGAGGGUCGCGGAAUUCCCGGUGUAGAGGUGAAAUUCGUAGAUAUUGGGAAGAACACCGGUGGCGAAGGCGGCGACCUGGUCCUUGACUGACGCUGAGGCGCGAAAGCGUGGGGAGCAAACAGG
rnacentral:rRNA from 1 species